rnacentral:rRNA from 1 species
UACGUAGGGGGCGAGCGUUGCCCGGAUUUAUUGGGCGUAAAGAGCUCGUAGGCGGCUUAGCAAGUCGGGUGUGAAAACUCCAGCUCAACCUGGAGACGCCACUCGAGACUGCUAUGGCUAGAGUCCGGUAGGGGACCACGGAAUUCCUGGUGUAGCGGUGAAAUGCGCAGAUAUCAGGAGGAACACCGGUGGCGAAGGCGGCAUCCUGGACCGGUAUUGACGCUGAGGCGCGAAAGCCAGGGGAGCAAACGGG